CACGUAGUUAGCCGUCCCUUUCUGGUAAGCUACCGUCGCAGUGUGAACUUUCCACUCUCACACCCGUUCUUGACUUACAACAGAGCUUUACGAUCCGAAAACCUUCUUCACUCACGCGGCGUUGCUCGGUCAGGGUUGCCCCCAUUGCCGAAGAUUCCCUACUGCUGCCUCCCGUAGGAGUCUGGGCCGUGUCUCAGUCCCAGUGUGGCCGAUCACCCUCUCAGGUCGGCUAUGUAUCGUCGCCUAGGUGAGCCAUUACCUCACCUACUAGCUAAUACAACGCAGGUCCAUCUUGUAGUGGAGCAAUUGCCCCUUUCAAAUAAAUGACAUGUGUCAUCCAUUGUUAUGCGGUAUUAGCUAUCGUUUCCAAUAGUUAUCCCCCGCUACAAGGCAGGUUACCUACGCGUUACUCACCCGUUCGCAACUCAUCCAAGAAGAGCAAGCUCCUCUCUUCAGCGUUCUACUUGCAUGUAUUAGGCACGCCGCCAGCGUUCGU
rnacentral:rRNA from 1 species